UACGUAGGUGGCAAGCGUUGUCCGGAUUUAUUGGGUUUAAAGGGUGCGUAGGCGGCCUUAUAAGUCAGUGCUGAAAUAUCCCGGCUUAACCGGGAGGGUGGCAUUGAUACUGUAGGGCUUGAGUAAAGUUGAGGUUGGCGGAAUUGACGGUGUAGCGGUGAAAUGCUUAGAUAUCGUCAAGAACACCGAUAGUGAAGACAGCUAACUGAGCUUUAACUGACGCUGAGGCACGAAAGUGUGGGGAUCAAACAGG
rnacentral:rRNA from 1 species